CGUCUGCAGCAAAACCUAAAAUAAUAAAAAAACAAACAAACAAACAAACACACAAUCACGCAAAGUCGCAAACGCAACGAGGAAGAAAAAUAGUGGUAACAGUGAAGAGCGAUUGCAAAAGUAUGAAUCAAGAAAUGGGGACUUGACUGAAGAAUUGAAUAUUGUGAUGCUGUGUGGAUAAUAAAAACGGAAUUUGAGCUACUGUGGUCUCAUUAUUCUCCUCUUUACACGUGGAAAAGCCCAUCAAAGAAUGGACAGGAAAGUCACGAGGUUGCCAAGCUGCUGCAACACCACAUUCGACACCGAAGAAAAACGAACAGCAAUCUGAAUUGGAUGGUGAAAGAGAAUUGAUUGCUCAAAAAUGAGUUGCCGACAGAAAGAAUCAUCGUCAAGUGAAGAAAAAGGAUGAAAUGCCAAAUCGGCAGUUCCAGACGAAACGGUUACUCCCAGCAAACUGGUGGUUUCCUGCGUUCAUUCAAAUAAUCCUGCGUCAAUUCAAUAACAGAUACCUAAAGCGGAGUUGAUUUUCUCCCUGAAUGAACUCGAUGACAGCCAAUCAAAGGCUUCGUCCCAUCGAAAACGAACAGUUGAAUCGGUGAGUGAGGUGUCAAAAGAGAAAAGACCUCGUGUCGAGCAAGACAUAGCAUCCUGAUUGCAUCUGCCACUCUUAAUGCCUUCGUCCCAGUAAUAAUUGAAGAAAAUGCUAUGACCACCAACGUCAACUAACAAAUUACAAUUUCUAUUCCAUCGUCGGUCCGCGAGGAAAAAGAGAAAAGGUCAUUGACAAAACCUAGAAGAGAUUGGAGAGAAAACGAGCGAACACACUACACACGCAAUUUAAAAAAAAUGUCCCAAUGUCGGAUGUUACGUUUGCUUCUGUGUUUGUACUUCUUUUUUUUUCAGUCGAUUUUCACGGUGCAAAUUUAGCCACGGUUUGUUUUUGAAAAGUGAUGAGAUAUUUCCACGCCAUUCGACCAAGCUUAAUCAAAAUUGAAUAAUUCUAAGGCAUGUAAGUGAAUCGUUAGAGUUUGACUUUUCGAAAGAUCCAUUUUUUAGUCUACUUCAAUUUAUUUUGUGAAAGCACGCCGAAGAUCUUUUGCCUUUCUCCACGUGAUCGCUGCCGUGUCAUGAAGAUGCUUCUUUGAGAGGGUCUCUACUCUCUACUAUAUUGCAAGACAAAAAUGUGAUGAGAACAGGUCUUGAACAGGUUAUCUGAGUUGGUUAUAAUGUACUUUUAAGAUAAAUCAAGUAGGUUAGUAUAUUGCUUACAUUUUAGUCUACGUAUGUGUGCUUAAGAGAAGUAAGUCGUACACUCGUACGUUACUUUAGAAUGUUUAAGAUGAAAUUUAGGUAUAUUUUCAACAUGUUCAAACUGAUGCUGAUGCAGUGUUUAUUUAUCAUUUUUCAAUUACCAUUUUAGAGUUCAACCUGCAGAUGGGCCGGCUAGUUUGCAUGUCCUUCACGCUUGAAGGUCACGGUGAACAUUACGUGUAAAACUGUCAAUGCGGUGGUGUAGAGGUUGGGUGAGAAAGGUACGUGUUUCAUCAUUAUCAAACAGGUACAAUACCCGCAAGGCUUAAGAGGUGAGGGUGAUAAAAAAAUCGUAUAAAAAGGAGAGAGAAAAGGCCAGAGACAUCAGUCGAGUGAGGAUCUCGGACACGGUAACAACUGCAGCGCACUCUCUGUCACCAUCUGCCUUCUUCACCGUAUUGCCAGUUCGCAUCCAUGGUUAAUAAGGCGUCGUAUGCUGUUGGGUGUUGUAUCGUUGAUGGCUGGGUCGACCACUGGUGUACCGAUGUCUCCUGAGUAUGGCGGAUACCAAACCGCAACGCCACCGCCUUACUACCCAAAAGCAACUUACGUAACGACCAGUUACUGCACCGGGGUCUACAAGUGCUACACUACUAAGGCACCGGAGUUUUAUACCACAACUUACUCUGCCCCGAGUUACUACACCAAGGCGACGGAGCAGGACUACGCAUGCUGCCCUAAGAUCCUACUACACCGAGGCUCCCAACUGCUACACCGAGGCUCCCGCUUAUUACUCCACCAAAACGGUCGAGUACUACACCGAAGCGGCAAAGUACUUCUCUGCCCCGAUCUACGCAACCACAACUGAGACGGCCAAGUAUUACGCAGUCCCGACUUACUACACAGAAGCUGCUCUUUCGUAGUACGUUGAACCGAAAUACUACACUGAUGCUCCAGUUCCCUACAAUACGACCUACGCUACACCGCAGCCCCCAAGUACUACACCGAAAAAACCGUCUAUUACACAACAACGUAUGCUCCCUAGUUUACUACACCGAGGCUCCCAAGUACUACACCACUAAGGCACCGGAAUUCUACACGUCAAUGUAUGCUGCCCCUACCUACUACACCGAGGCCCUGCAUUACUACAACACUGAAGCGCUCAAGAACUACACUACAACCUACGUUGCCCCGAGCUACUACACCUACGUCCCGAAGUAUUAAUGUGCGUGAAAGGAGUCGUCAAGAAAAAAAAAGAAGUCGUGCCAGAACUGCAGUGGCCUAUCUGUCACCAACUGCAUUCCUCAUCGUGUAACCGAUUCGCAAUUAUGGCAAACUAUGGCGUCGGGCUGCUGUUGGUUGUUGUAUCGUUGAUGGCUGGGUCGACCGCUGGUGUAGCGAUGUCUCCUUGGUAUGGUGGAUAAUAAACCACAACGCCGCCGCCUUACUAUAAAACAACAACUUACGCAACGACCAGUUCCUGCACCGAGGUCUACAAGUACUACAUCACUAAAGCACCGGGGUUUUAUACCACAACUUGCUCUGCCCCGAGCCACUACUCUGACGCCCUGAAGUAUUACUCUGCCCUGAGUUACUACACCAUCUAGGCGACGGAGUGCUACAUGACUACGUAUGCUGCCCAUCCUACUACACCGAGGCUUCUAAAUGCUAUGCCGAGGUUCCCGCUGAUUACUCCACCGAAGCGGCAAAGUACUUCCUGCCCCAAUCUACACAACCACAACUGAGGCGGCCAAGUAUUACGCUGUCCCGACUUGCUACACAAAAGCUGCUCUUUUGUGCUACGUUGAACAGAAAUACUACACUGAUGCUCCAGUCUACUACACCACGGCAGCCCCCAAGUACCACGCCGAAGAAGCCGCCUAUUACACAACUACGUACCCUGCCUAGUUUACUACAUCGAGGAAUUUAAUUAUUACCCUGCUCCAAACUGCUACCAAACUGAGGUUCAUAUUUAUUGCAAUUCUCCCGAUUAUGUCACCACUACUUACGCUGCUACGACUUAUACACCGAAGUUCUGAAGUAUUUCUCUGGAUGUGUUGAAAGAUUGCUGAAAUACAAGAUUGAUAAAUCACAAGUGCAUGUUCUCCUUAUGUACAUUUCCUGCUGCUGAUAAUUGCAUGAUGUGAGAAAAUAUUUCUGAGUUAACUUACAAAUAAUUGAUCUUGCAAAAUACAACAAUAAAAAUUCAAACUCA